AGGGAGGGACAGAGAAAAGCACAAAGGAGACAGCAGAAAUUAUACCGGAAAGGACAGAGGAGACUCUAGAGACAACAGUUGAAAUGGAGGAAAGGACAGAGGAGAGCGCAGAAGGGACAGUAGAGUCAAAUGGAGGCACCAAAGAACAGGCUGAGGCUCAGGUGACAAUUCUGCACAGCAGUCUCCAAAAGAAGGACCAGAGAAUAAAACAACUAGAGGCACGCCUUGCAAGGCUGCAAAGGCUAAGACGCAGGAAAAGGAAGCCAGCUGGCAUGCCAAAAAAAUCCAAUCCCCAUGAAAUUAUGGAGGAGAGGCUCCAGAGGUGUCCUGAGGGCUGCCGGAACUUCAUAAGGGCACAACUGUCAGAG